UGGCAAUUAGCAGGUGUAUAGGAAAUGCUAAGUUUCACGAAUUAGUGUGUAUGAAUUACUCGCUGCGGUGGCUGAUAGCCAGUUACUAAGUACCAGCGAACAUCCCCCAUUAUUCCCUAUGAUCCCUAUCCACUAGCAACUGUUUUCAAACAUUCUCUUUUUAACAGCUGCAAGUUACCAUCAAACUAAAAGGGAGACUAUAGUCACAAUAAAAACUGUAACUUAAUGGAAUGGUUGUGUUGUAUAGAUCAUGCCCCUGCAGUCUCGCUGUGCAAUUAUCUGCUAUUUAGGAGUAAAUUACUAUGUUUAUGCAG